GAUGAACGCUAGCGAUAGGCUUAACACAUGCAAGUCGAGGGGCAGCACAAGGUAGCUUGCUAUCUGGGUGGCGACCGGCGCACGGGUGCGUAACGCGUAUGCAACUUGCCCUAUACAGGAGGAUAACCCGUCGAAAGACGGACUAAUACUGCGUAUGCUCACAACUUGGCAUCAAGUGGUGAGGAAAGAAAUUCGGUAUAGGAUAGGCAUGCGUCCCAUUAGCUUGUUGGUGAGGUAACGGCUCACCAAGGCAACGAUGGGUAGGGGAACUGAGAGGUUUAUCCCCCAAACUGGUACUGAGACACGGACCAGACGCCUACGGGAGGCAGCAGUGAGGAAUAUUGGUCAAUGGGCGCGAGCCUGAACCAGCCAAGUCGCGUGAAGGAUGACUGUCUUAUGGAUUGUAAACUUCUUUUAUACGGGAAUAACAAGAGUCACGGGUGACUCCCUGCAUGUACCGGAUGAAUAAGCAUCGGCUAACUCCGUG
rnacentral:rRNA from 1 species